rnacentral:rRNA from 1 species
GACAGAGGGUGCAAAACGUUGUUCGGAAUUACUGGGCGUAAAGCGUGUGUAGGCGGCCUUAUAAGUCGGAUGUGAAAGCCCAGGGCUCAACCCUGGAAGUGCACUCGAGUACUGUAAGGCUCGAGUACUGGAGAGGUUGGUGGAAUUCUCGGUGUAGAGGUGAAAUUCGUAGAUAUCGAGAGGAACACCGGUGGCGAAGGCGGCCAACUGGACAGAUACUGACGCUGAGACACGAAAGCGUGGGGAGCAAACAGG